rnacentral:lncRNA from 10 species
CCCGCCUUGGCCUUUCAAAGUGCUGGGAUUACAGGUGUGGGCCACUGCUCCCUGCCAUGAUUUCUUUGAGCAGUGUUUUGUAAUUCCCAUUGUUGAAAUCUUUCAUCUAUCUGGUUGCCUGUAUUCCUAGGUAUUUUAUUCUUUUCAUGGCUAUUGUGAAUGGGAUAAUUUUCUGAUUUGGCUCUCAGAUUGGAAUGCUACUGAUUUUUGUACAUUGAUUUUGUAUCCUGAAACUUUGCUGAAAUUGUUUAUCAGAUCAAGGAGGUUUUGGGCAGAGACUAUGGGGCCUCCUAGGUGUAGGAUUAUGUCAUCUGCAAACAAGUAUAGUUUGACUUCCUUCCUUCCUAUUUGGAUGCCUUUUAUUUCCUUCUCUUGCCUCAUUGUUCUGGCUAGGACUUCCAAAAUUAUGUUGAAUAGGAGUGGUUAAAGAGGGCAUCCUUGUCUUAUUCCAGUUUCCAAGGGGAAUGCUUCCAACUUUUGCCAAUUCAGUAUGAUGUUGGCUGUGCGUUUAUCAUAGGUGGCUCUUAUUAUUUUGAAGUAUGUUCCUUCAAUGCCUGGUUUGUUAAGGGUUUUUAAUAUACAGAGAUGUUGAAUUUUACCAAAAGCCUUUUCUGCAUCUAUUGAGAUAAUCAUGUGUUUUUCAGUUCUGUUUAUGUGAUGAAUCACAUUUAUUGAUUUGCAUAUGUUGAACCAACCUUGUGCCCCAGGGAUGAAGCCUACUUAAUCGUGGUGGAUUAGCUUUUUGAUGUGCAGCUGGAUUUGGCUUGCUAGUAUUUUGUUGAGGAUUUUUGCAAACGCUAUUUUUUUAAGUCUAUAUUAAUGAGCAAAAUAGGUUUGUUAUGCUCCUUUUUUGUACUGCUUUUAUGCAUUUUUGAUCUCAGAUAUAUGCAGGAUUAAUAGAUGAGUUAGGGAAGGAAUCCCUUUUUUUCUUUUUAUAUUCUCUGAAAGCAUUUGAAUGAGAUUAAGAUUAUCUGUUUUGAGAUUGGUAUUUGCUUUAAAAGAGAUUUGAAAUUAUUGCUUUAAUUUAUUUAAUAUUAACAGGACCAUUGAAGCUUAUAAUGUGUUUCUCAAAUCAGUUCUGCUAAUUAUAUUUUUCUAGAAAUUUGUCCAUUUUGCCUAAUGCAUUAAAGUUGAUGUGUGCUUAUUAUCUUUUUAUUCUCUGCUUUAUCUAAGUUUGGUUAUUUUUCAUUUAUCAUUUUUACUUUGGUGCCUCCUCUCUUUCUCUUUCUCUGCCUUCUUUUCUUUAUGAAUCUUGCUGAAAGUAUACUUAUUUUGUAAUUUUUUCCCAAAAGCCCAAUUUUUGUCUUUGUUGCAUUUUUGCACGUCACUCCUAUUUCAUUGAUUUACACUCUUUUUAUUAUUCGUCUGCUUUUUUUAUGUUUAGUCUAAUAUUCUCUUUCAGAUGUCUAAUUACUUCAUAGCUUUUCCCCCUAAAAUAAGUAUUUAAGGCUAUAACACUUCCUUCAAAGCACUGCUUUUCCUAUGUGCCUUAAGUUUUGAUAUACAGUAUUUUUAUUAUAAUUUUCUUUUAAACAUAUCACAAUUUUCAUUAUGAGUUACUUAUCAGUGUGUUUUUAAAAUUUCUGAAAACAUGGAUAUCAACCCAUCAUGAAGGAUCUGAGAUUUUACCCUACUUAGAAGAUAACAAGUUAAUAUUGAUGAACAGAUUUGAGACUGCUAGGUCAGUGACAAAGGACCUUAUAAAACACAGCAUUAGCAGUGGUCAGUGUAUCAGCAUUUUCAUGUGCUGAGUCCUCAAACCCCAAUUUCACCAGGGUGAUGAAGAGAGCCAGGUGACAUGUGCAUUUACAGCGAGUUGUGUUACAGGAAAGAAUUCAGAGCUUAAGAAACUCAGAUCUUUUAUACUGUACAGUAAGCAUGCUUGCCCUUUGCUCUAGAGGGAGAUGCUAUCUUUAUCUUCCAAAGCUGUCUAGUAUACAAAUAUCCUUGAAAAGAUGGCCUGAGAAAAAGCCAGUCAGUGCCUCUGCUCAUAAGACAUGCAGAAAUAUAAGACCCAUGGAAAAUUGUCUUGCAGUAGUAAGUAUAUUUGUUAUUUUUGUUGUCUUUCUAACUUAAUCGAGUUGUCAGAGAAAAUAAUCUGCAUAAUACCUAUGCUUUGAAAUUUAUUAGGGUUCAUUUUGUGGCUCAGUACAUUAUCCAGUUUUUUUUACUGUCUCAUUUACAAAAUACAUUUUUUAAAAGAAUGCAAGUUCUCAAAUUUCUGGAUGCAAAGUUCUAUGUAGGUCUAUUAGAUCACGAUUUUUAAUUGCAUUAUUUAGACUUGUUAUAUGCUUUCUGAAUUUUAUCUCCUUAAGCUAUUGAUAAUUGGGAGAGGUAUGUUGAAAUCUCCCACCAUGAUGGCAUCAAUUUCUUUUUUUUUUUUUUUGCUUUUGUUGUUCUAUCAAUUUUAUCUCUACAUAUUUUGAAGCUAUUUUAUUAGGUUCAUCCAUAGUUAAAAAUUUCUAUACUUUUUUGGCAAAAUGAAUGUCAUUUGUACCUACCUGCUCUCACUCUAAUAAUGCUUUGCUUGAAAAAAAAAUCUAUUUUGUCUGAUACUAACAUAUAUACUGGGCUUCUCUUGUUAAGUAUUUGCCUUAUAUGACUUCUUUUAUCCUUUCACUUUCAACCUUUGCAUGUCCUUGAUGAUUUAGGUGUGUCUUUCAUAAAAAGAUAUAUUGUAUUAUGUUUAUUAUUCUUUUUAAAAACAAGUGUUCGCUGUGUUGUAAUAUUUCUGCUUUAGAUGAAAUCUUUUCAAACACUUUUCUCUUGAAAGAAUCCUCUUCUUCAGAUAUCUUGAUGUAUUGGCCUGUUGACAUAUUUCUUGGAAUAUGAGCUACUUUUUUUCAUUGACGGCUAUGGGGAAAGGGUCAGAGGUCAGGUCUCAAUCUGCAUUAGCUCAAAUGAGUUUCAAGAAGUCACUGUGGGGGGAAUAUGCCCCUUAUGAUGGGGAGCCCCACAUUUAAUCACUCCUCUGUGGCAGCAUUAACAGAGGUCUCAGGACCCACUCAUGAUGUUGAGAAACAGGACUCAGGGCAUUCAUUUUGCUUGUAUGAAUCAUAGCAGGAAUGGCACACCUCUGGAGCUCACAGCAGCAGUUUCUUGAUCGUGGUGGUUUCCUGAUGAUGGCAAUAACAACACAGUUCUGGAACCAGGAGCCUCUUGAUCACAUAAGAGGCAGCAGCUGCCCUGAUAGCCAGGUUCCAUGGGGCUCUUCCACCUUUGCUGCUGGGCACUUCUCCUUGCCUUGUGAAGAAAGUGCCUGCUUCCCCUUCUGCCAUGAUUUUAAGUUUCCUGAGGCCUUCCCAACCAUACAGAACUGUGAGUCAAUUAAACCUCUUUUCCUUAUGAAUUACUCAGUCUCGGGUAUUUCUUCAUAGUAGCAUGAGUAUGGACUAAUACAAAUUCCUUCCUGCUUGAGCUAGCUAAAGUGCAGUCUGCCUUGUACAACUGAACCCUGACCUAGACAAUAUGCUAAAGGAUCUAAGAAAGUUGAACUCAUAAAAGUAGAGAAUCAAGUGGUGGUUGCCAGAUGCUGAGUAAGAGGAGUGAAUGGGGAAAGGGGAAAUGUUGAUCAAAGGGUGACAAUUUUAGUUAAACAGGACGAAUAAGCUUUAGUGAUCUAUUGCAUAGAAUGGUGACUAUAAUAAAUAAUAAUGCAUCAUAUACUUCAAAAUUACUAAAAGAGGAGAUUUAAAAUGUUUUCACAACAAAAAAGUGUGUGAAGUUACAGAUUUGUUAAUUAGCAAAUGAUUUAAUCAUUUUAUAUUGUAAAUAUAUAUCUAAACAUCACAUUGUACCUCAUAAAUGUCUAAUAUAUACAAUUUUGUCAAUUAAAAAUUUAAAAACAACAUGCUAAAGGGAAUUAUAAGAAUUUAAAAAAUCUUCUCCCCUCAAAAUCUAUAUCAAUGUGCUUUUGUCUUUUGCAUUCGUAUUACAAAACUUUUGCUUUAGUUGUGGUGGUGAUCAGACAAACUGAAAAGUUUUCUCAACUCAGAAAUUCUGUUAGCAGUCAAAACUUCAAAAUUGGCUGCUUGCACUAUUUACAAUAGCAAUGACAUGGAAUGAAACUAAAUGCCCAUCAAUGGUGAACUGGAUGAACAAAAUGUGUGGUACAUAUACACCAUGGAGUAGUAUGCAGCCAUAAAAAAACCCAAAGUCAUGUUUUUUUUGUUGGUUUUUUUUUUUUUUUUUUGCAGCAACAUGGUUGCAGCUGGAGGCCAUUAUCCUAAGAGAAUUGACACAGAAACAGAAAAUCAAAUACUGUAUGUUCUCACUUUUGUAAGUGGAAGCUAAACAUUGACAAUACAAGGACAUAAAGAUGGAAACAAUAGAGUUAGAAAAAAUGAAUAAGACUUACUAUUUGAUAACACAACAGGGCAACUAUAGUCAAUAAUAAUUGUACAUUUUAAAAUAACUAAGAGUAUAAUUGGAUUAUUUGUAAUACAAAGAAUGAAUACUUAAGGUGAUGGAUAUUACAUUUGCUCUGAUGUGAUUAUUAUUCAUUGCAUGCCUUUAUCAAAAUAUCUCAUGUAACCUGUAAAUAUAUACACCUACUAUGUACUCACAAAAAUUAAAAAUAAAAUUUUUUUUAAAAGAUGGAAACAAUAGACAGUGGGUACUAUUAGAGGAGGGAGGGCGUAAGGGAAGCAAAUGUUGAAAAACUACCUAUUGGGUGCUAUGCCCACUACCUGGGUGAUGGGAUCAUUUGUAUCUCAAGACCCCAAGACACAAUUUACCCAUAGAACAAAGCUGUGCAUGUAUCCCCUGACCUAAAAUAAAAGUUGAUAAAUGAAAAGAAAAUGGGCUGCUUUUAAUCUUUGCUUUCCUGCUAUAAUAUCCCAACCUCCACAUCCCUCACGCUACACAUAUGGAUGCAUCUGGCCACCUAAAACAGUCAUAUAUUAAAUCAUAUUAACAUAUUUUAAAGUAGCAUCUCUGUUGUAAAUAUUUAUAACUACUCCUUUAAGGUGAAUUCCCAGAAAUUAAAUUGCAUCAUGAACAUUUUUAACUCUGGAUACUUAUUUCAUAUCACUUCCUAAAGUGUUUUACUACUGUAUUUUCUGUCCGCAACGUAGGAUUUUUUCCUAGCAUUUAUCCAUUGCACUAUUACCCAAAAUAGGAAUCCUGACAAAGUAUCUUUUGCUAAUUUGUUAAUGAAUGACAGUCUUUUAUUGUUGUCUUGAU